CGCGGCCUAUCAGCUUGUUGGUGGGGUGAUGGCCUACCAAGGCGGUGACGGGUAGCCGGCCUGAGAGGGUGACCGGCCACACUGGGACUGAGAUACGGCCCAGACUCCUACGGGAGGCAGCAGUGGGGAAUAUUGCACAAUGGGCGGAAGCCUGAUGCAGCGACGCCGCGUGAGGGAUGACGGCCUUCGGGUUGUAAACCUCUUUCGGUGGGGAAGAAGGCCUUUCGGGGUUGACGGUACCUGCAGAAGAAGCGCCGGCUAACUACGUGCCAGCAGCCGCGGUAAUACGUAGGGCGCAAGCGUUGUCCGGAAUUAUUGGGCGUAAAGAGCUCGUAGGCGGCCUGUCGCGUCUGCUGUGAAAGCCCGGGGCUCAACCCCGGGUCUGCAGUGGGUACGGGCGGGCUGGAGUGCGGUAGGGGAGACUGGAAUUCCUGGUGUAGCGGUGGAAUGCGCAGAUAUCAGGAGGAACACCGGUGGCGAAGGCGGGUCUCUGGGCCGUUACUGACGCUGAGGAGCGAAAGCAUGGGGAGCGAACAGGAUUAGAUACCCUGGUAGUCCAUGCCGUAAACGUUGGGCACUAGGUGUGGGGCCCAUUCCACGGGUUCCGUGCCGUAGCUAACGCAUUAAGUGCCCCGCCUGGGGAGUACGG
rnacentral:rRNA from 1 species